GGAGUUUGGUCCGUGUCUCAGUACCAAUGUGGGGGACCUUCCUCUCAGAACCCCUACUGAUCGUAGCCUUGGUGGGCCGUUACCCCGCCAACAAGCUAAUCAGACGCAUCCCCAUCCCAUAGCGAUGAAUCUUUGGUAUUCGUCAGAUGUCCUCAAAAUACAACAUAGGGCAUUAAUCCGACUUUCGCCGGGCUAUUCCCUACUAAGGGGAAGGUUGGAUACGCGUUACUCACCCGUGCGCCGGUCGCCAUCACAGAUAGCAAGCUACCUGCAUGCUGCCCCUCGACUUGCAUGUGUUAAGCCUGUAGCUAGCGUC
rnacentral:rRNA from 1 species